rnacentral:rRNA from 1 species
UUUUUAAGUGGCAUGUCCUGGACCCGAAGCGGGGUGAUCUACCCAUGGCCAGUGUGAAGCAGCUGUAAGAGGUUGUGGAGGCGCGAACCCACUUAGGUUGAAAACUGAGGGGAUGAGCUGUGGGUAGGGGUGAAAGGCCAAUCAAACUCCGUGAUAGCUGGUUCUCCCCGAAAUGCAUUUAGGUGCAGCGUUGUGUGUUUCUUGCUGGAGGUAGAGCUACUGGUUGGUUGAGCGGGACUACAAUCUUAGCAAUGUCAGCCAAACUCCGAAUGCCGGUAAUGUUAAGCAUGGCAGUGAGACUGCGGGGGAUAAGCUCCGUUGGUCGAGAGGGAAACAGCCCAGAUCGCCGGUUAAGGCCCCUAAGGGUGUACUAAGUGGAAAAGGAUGUGGGAUCGCGAAGACAGCCAGGAGGUUGGCUUAGAAGCAGCCAUCCUUGAAAGAGUGCGUAAUAGCUCACUGGUCGAGUGGUUCUGCGCCGACAAUGUAGUGGGGCUCAAGUACACCGCCGAAGCCGCGGCAGUCAACAAUUUUUUUGUUGGUUGGGUAGGGGAGCGUCGUGCACUGCUGUGAAGCACCUGGGUGACUUGAUGGUGUGGAGUGUGUGCGAGUGAGAAUGCAGGCAUGAGUAACGAAUGAAAAGUGGAAAACUUUUCCGCCGGAUGACUAAGGGUUCCUGGGUUAAGCUAAUCUUCCCAGGGUGAGUCGGGACCUAAGGCGAGGCCGACAGGCGUAGUCGAUGGAUAACCAGUUGAUAUUCUGGUACCCGUGUAUGUGCGCCCAGUGGUGAAUCAGUGGUACUAACCAUCCAUUGAUCUGCUGGUCAUGCUUUGUGUGUGGUUGGUGGUGAUGUGCGUGGGAUCUUCGUUGGUAGUAGCCAAGUGAUGGGGUGACGCAGUGAGGUAGCUGAGCCAUGUAGUGGAUUGUGGUGUAAGCGUGUGGCCCGUGGCAUAGGUAAAUCCGUGUCGCAUUUGUGGGUGAGGCGUGAUGCGUAGACCGUUGUGGUUGAUGUUGGUGAUCCUGUACUGUCGAGAAAAGCCUCUAGCGAGUGCAUAUAUGGCCCGUACCCAUAACCGACACAGGUGGUCAGGUAGAGAAUACUAAGGCGAUCGGGUGAACUGUGGUUAAGGAACUCGGCAAAUUGCCCCCGUAACUUCGGGAGAAGGGGGACCAUUGCUGGUGACCGACGUGGUUGAGCUGGUGGUGGUCGCAGAGAAUAGAGGGAAGCGACUGUUUAUUAAAAACACAGGUCCGUGCGAAAACGUGGAAGUUGAUGUAUACGGACUGACGCCUGCCCGGUGCUGGAAGGUUAAGAGGACCUGUUAGGGCAUUUUUUGUCCGAAGCGGAGAAUUUAAGCCCCAGUAAACGGCGGUGGUAACUAUAACCAUCCUAAGGUAGCGAAAUUCCUUGUCGGGUAAGUUCCGACCUGCACGAAUGGCGUAACGACUUCCCUGCUGUCUCAACCACAGGCCCGGUGAAAUUGCAGUACGAGUAAAGAUGCUCGUUACGCGCGGCAGGACGAAAAGACCCCGGGACCUUCACUAUAGCUUGGUAUUGGUGUUU